rnacentral:lncRNA from 1 species
AAAAAAGUCCUGAGGAUGAAACCCACGACUCAUCAUCUUCCAAACGUGGGGUUCAACAACAAUUCUAAACUAACUCAAACAUGACGCACGAUUUAUGCGGUUUCAUAUGUUAAAUUCCUUUUUCAAUCCCUAUUUUCUCCGCUCAGUACUACAACAAUAUUGCAAAUAUGGCUACAAUCAGACAAAUUUCAAGCAUCAAUGCAAUUCAAUCUAACUUGGAGUCGUUCGAAUGUGAAAAAUCCAGAUCGUUUCAAGCGUGAAAUACAAUAUUCCAUAGAGUUAGAUUUUACCCAAUGCAUAGGUAACAUAUUCUACUUUCACAUAGUUUUUAUGUUAAUCCUUUCUCUGCUGCUCUGCUUUAAUGGAUAACUUCUCCAAUAUACUCAAAUACAUAAAAUUGUACUAAUGAAACGAUUAUGUGUAGUCCUCUUCUAUGCUGCUUUGAUGGAUAAAUUUUCACAAUCUUCAAAUAUAUAAAAUUGUAUUAAUAAAACGAUUAUGUGUGCUACCAAUAUUUCUCUUUCUGUUUAUGAAAGUUUAAUUCAUAGUUGUGUACCAAUUUGUAUGUAUAUGGAAUUUAGCAUUAAUAUGAUACAUCCUAAUAAUGAAUCUGCCUUUCUAAGGAGUAUGUAUUAGAAUGAAGAAAACAAUACAGAAAGAUCAAUAUUUUUUUCUAGUAUUGCUGAAAUACUUUCUAAGACUGAUAUGAAAUUUGGUACGUUCCCCAUAGACUCAAGGGUCUACGAAAUUGCUCCAACCAUUCAAAUUUUACAUAAACGAUAUGUAUAGUACAUGUAUUUAACUUUUUAUUUCUGAAAAUUAAAUUCACAAUUGUGCAUUAAUUCCUAUGUAAAUAUUAAUCUACAUUCAUAUUUAAAAAAUUGAUUCUUAAAUUAAUACUUAGUUGACUCUUUCAGUUAAUUUUUUUUAUGCAACGUGUUAGUUAUUUGAACUAAUCAAAUGUUGAAUGAAUGUGUGGGUGAAGCUAAGAUUUAUACGAUAUACUUCGAUAGUUUUAAACUUAGAGUUGGGAGAUGCUUUUUAAGUAGUUGCGUGUGAUUAAUAAGGUUUUGUGAAGUACAGUUGCACUGUAGAAGAACUGAUAUUGUCUGCUCCUAGAAUGCGAAAUCAAAUUCUAUUCCUCCCAUGUUAGUUCUGCUUGCUAUUUUCUGACAAUAAUCAUCAGAGGAACUGUCCAUGAAACUUCAGAAAGUUAAUGCAUAUUGUGUUCAAAAGCUACAUAAGUGUUGUAGUUGUUAAGAAGCAAAUUUAUAGGAGGAGUUUUUGGUGUUAACAGAGGAGUUUUUAGUGCUUUGUGAACUGAUUUUAUGGAGUUUUCAGAUGAUCAUUUACAUGGCUAAUCUGGGGUCGUUCUUGUGGUGGUUUGAUGGAGUUUAAGGGACAUUUUAAUGGAGGUUUAGGGGUGAUUCAUGGCUGGUUUGUCGCAGCAGUUAUUAUGGCUAUAGAGGUGAUUUUUAUAGGGUUUAGGUGACUUUUUUGGACUAUUUUUUGGAGCUUUUUGCUGCGUUUUUGUUCGGGUUUUCAUGGUUGAUUUGGCAGCAGCUAUGAUGAUUGACUUUUUUCAGUAAACAGGUUCAACUAACUUUAACAUAUGAAUUAAGAAAGACGAAUACUUCUUAGAACAUCUCUUAUCUCAGACAUAGCUUAUGUUAUGCACAUUGGACUUACUACAAAGAGUAAUAAUAGCAUGAGAGUUCCAUAAAACUAAUUUAGGUGUGUGUGCAUGCCUAUAAGUGUAACAAGUUUUAGUUGCAAAUUCUCUAACAUUUCAGUUGUUAAAGAGCAAAAAAGAUUCAGAUUACUUUUCUAGCCAAUGUAACAUACCUAAAUCAUGUUAAGCCCAUACUAGAGACCACCUUUGAGAUAACCAAAGCAGAUAAUAGAACGAAAAAGAGAAAAAAAAACUUACUCACACUCGAUGUUUACACCAAAUUAUAUUAGUUUAUCAAAGAUGGAUUGAUGUCAGAAUACAUAUUACUCCUUAACUAUGGUUAGUGAUAGAUGCAUAUAUUAGCGAUAAUUAUUUACGUGGAAUGUGUCUGAAUAUGUAAUUGGUGAAAUUUCCUAUCCAAAUACUCUGUUGUUAGAGAAAAUUUUAGUUUGGAUGACUCUUCCUCCUAAUUGCAAGUAUUAUGUGCAGCUAUUGUUGGGCUAUUUGCUAACUGAGAACGUGCUAUAUCCAACGGAAUUGGCUAAAAAGAGGUCUUAAUACAAACAUUUUAAAGAGGAGUUUUUGAUGAAUCCUGUAAGUAUUUAUUCCUAAUGCAGUGAUUAUUGGCCAAGUUCAUGCAGUCAAACUUAUUAGUAUUACUGUUACUGAUAUCUAAAUUGUUGGUGCUCCUGCUCAUUGGUAAUUGAAGAAAUACUUUGCUAAUUUGGUGUGGCAAGACUCAUGAGGCAUAUGGAGACGAAGCUUGUAGAUAUGAAAUACAUUGAGAACUGGCAUAACAUUUGCAUUAUUACAAUCUUUUAUCGUCAGAUUAAUGAAUUUAUUUUAAAAUAUAUUUUUUAUUUAAUUUAAGUUUCUUAUGCUCAUUAUCUAAUUAUUAUGUUGUAUAUGUAAUAUUCUAUAAAUUUGAGAUGUCACCUUUUGUUUUAGAUUAGUGAGAAUGUAGCAAGGGAGAUCAUUAAUCAUAAAUCACUUCGACAAUCAAACAUAGUUCACUUCAACGAGGCAAUUUUGUGAGGGUAUACAUUGUUUAUUUUUAUGGUCCUUGUGUAUUUAUGUUGGUAUAUUUUAACAAUGGCAAUAAAAAGCUAAGGAAUUACUACCCUAACUAAUGUUCAUUUUCUUUGUGAAAUACAAGUGAUAUUAACACUCACUUAUCUUGCUAUUGUUAUGGAAUAUGCAGAUGGGGGGAAACUGUUUGUGCGCAUCGGCUAUGCAGAAAGGUUCAAUGAGAAUUAGGUAUAUUUAAAUAUCCUUAUUUUGUUAGUAGUCAAUUUUCACAUCGAAUACCACUAUGAACGAUAAUGAAAUGGUAAUGGAGACUCUUUGUCACAAUUCUAUUAUUUUAAAAGGCCAACUUUCCGUGUUUUUAAAAGCAUUGGUUCCACAUAUGCAAUGCUUCUCUCAUUUUGGUUUUUGAUUGUUGUCACUUCAGACUAGAACCUUCUUCCAGCAUUUUAUUUUAGGAGUCCACUACUAUCACAAUAUGGUGAGAAACUUACAAGAUUCUACAAAAAAAAAUUGUGAAUGUAUGAUAUUUUUUUAGAUAUAUCUUAGAGAUGGACUAAUCUUUAUAAAUUUUAUCCCAAAUACCAUCUUUUUAAUUUAAGGGAUCUUAUUUUUCUUCAAACUUCAAGUGCAUGGGCAACAAAGAUUUGAAAUUGGACGAUACACUUUUCGAUGGAAGUACAGCUCCACACCUGAAGAUAUGUUAUUUUGGAAAAUCAAAGGUUGAUGAUGUUAUGCUUAUUUGUAUAGACUUUUAGUUGUUUCUAUUUUGUGGCUGUAAACUAUGAAUAAGAAGAAAAAAAAAAUUAACCUCAAAUAUUAUUGCUUUUUUUCGAACUUUCCACCUUACGUAACACUGAAAAGUCCCUCUCACCAAAGUGACAUAACAACUUCACAGAUUACAUUCUUAUACCUCACUAAUCUACUAGAAAUUGGUUUGCAACACAAUCUAAGAAUAUUUUUCUUUAACAUAUAUUUGUAUUUAUUGAUUUUGCAGCUUCAUUAGAGAAGUUUAGUCCAAAAAUUCAGUUCCUCGUUCAGAAAAAAUAUCAGCCAAGUCGGAUUUCGUGCAAAAGCUAAUGCGUGAUCCUAGGCUUUGUAAAGAAAAAGUGGUUGCUUCUCAACAUUCAAGCUAUUCAUACUUAAAGUUAAAUUAAUGAAAUGCUAAUACAUAAUAUUAUAUAUUUUACAUCUUAAGAUAUCAUGAUUGAAUUAUGCAUGAGAAUAAAUAUAAUCAAGAUAGUCGACUACAAGAGUUUAAUAAUACAGUGAUAACUUGUAUUUUUUUGAUUGAAAUGUUUUGAACUUUAUGAUAAUUACAUUGUAACAAGGAAUUAGUACGUAAUUCUAGCCUGACUUACUGGUAAUAAUUCCUCAGUUACAUAAGUAAUUACAUCUUCUUAUUACACCUUUCCCUUCUUUGCCUAAGAAUAAGUUUUUUACUAAUCGUUAUUAUUAGGAACCUAAAAGCUAUUUGUUAUCAUUUCAGUGGGCUUUUGUUUGAUCAUGCGAGGUGGCACUUUUAUGUUAUGCUGGUUGGGGCAUAUCUUUUAGAAUACCCGGAGGAUCCAAAAAACUUUAGAAAAACUAUUCAAAUGAGUUUUUUUUUAUACAUUCAUAAAUCCAAAUGACUUUACAGGUAUUUAGACGUCUUAGUUUGAUUUUGAUGUUUCUCUUUCCAGCGAAUAAUGGUGGUACAGUUAUUUUGGGUUAAGCAUAUGCUUCACGUUUGUGCCAUUGACAUCUCUUUAUAAAACUUGUGCUAUUAUGGUCUAUAAAAUGCUGAUUGUAAAUGCAAGUUUA